GGACGGAAAGACCCCGUGGAGCUUUACUGUAGCCUGAUAUUGAAAUUCGGUACAGUUUGUACAGGAUAGGUAGGAGCCUUAGAAGCGUGAGCGCUAGCUUACGUGGAGGCAUUGGUGGGAUACUACCCUAAUUGUAUUGGAUUUCUAACCCGCAGCACUUAUCGUGCUGGGAGACAGUGUCAGGCGGGCAGUUUGACUGGGGCGGUCGCCUCCUAAAGAGUAACGGAGGCGCUCAAAGGUUCCCUCAGAAUGGUUGGAAAUCAUUCAUAGAGUGUAAAGGCAUAAGGGAGCUUGACUGCGAGACCUACAAGUCGAGCAGGGUCGAAAGACGGACUUAGUGAUCCGGUGGUUCCGCAUGGAAGGGCCAUCGCUCAACGGAUAAAAGCUACCCCGGGGAUAACAGGCUUAUCUCCCCCAAGAGUUCACAUCGACGGGGAGGUUUGGCACCUCGAUGUCGGCUCAUCGCAUCCUGGGGCUGUAGUCGGUCCCAAGGGUUGGGCUGUUCGCCCAUUAAAGCGGUACGCGAGCUGGGUUCAGAACGUCGUGAGACAGUUCGGUCCCUAUCCGUCGUGGGCGUAGGAAAUUUGAGAGGAGCUGUCCUUAGUACGAGAGGACCGGGAUGGACAUACCUCUGGUGUACCAGUUGUCGUGCCAACGGCAUAGCUGGGUAGCUAUGUAUGGACGGGAUAAGUGCUGAAAGCAUCUAAGCAUGAAGCCCCCCUCGAGAUGAGAUUUCCCAACUUCGGUUAUAAGAUCCCUCAAAGAUGAUGAGGUGAAU
rnacentral:rRNA from 1 species